UACCUCCUAACCUUCAAGAUGGACGCCCCUCCAGAGAGGAGAGACCAAACCAGAAGAAUUCAAAGGUUACCAGGCCUGUACAGCAGCAUCAAACAGAGCUGAUCAAGAGGGCUGAGGAGAACGCACACGCUUUCCUAGACAAGGAGCU